UCCCCUGUGGUCCAACAGGCAAGACGCUCGGCUCUGGACCGAGAAAUGCGCGUUCGAAUCGUGCUGGGGGAG
rnacentral:tRNA from 2 species